UGGGGUCGCAGAGUCAGAUAUGACUUAGUGACUGAACAUGACAUAACAGAAAACAAAGUCCCUAAAAGAAAAGGACUAGUGUCACCAAGGAGGCUUGCAGACCCCCGCCCGCACACCCACUCCAGAGUCCCUGUGCAGUGUGCUGUGGGUGGGAGGAGUCACACCAGGCUGGAGGUGACCAGGAUUGCUUUGUAUGACCUGUGUCUUUACCCUCAGAGAAGGUAGCAGGGCCUGGAACCAACGGCCAGCCCACGCCGCCCUGGAUCCCCGUGGGGCGCCAGAAGCGCCGAGGACCUCUGGAGCAGCCUCCCAGCCAGGAAGACAAACCUGCGGCCCGGACCUUGAAGUCUGACACAGGAAGGCCAGCCAAGGCACCCGAGAGAACCCAGGUGCUUCGAGUGGACCCUGCGUCUCCCUGUGUGUGCAGUGGAGCACCCCAGGAGCCCGUGAAGCAAGCCGACUUUGUCCGCAGCAAGUCUUUCCUGAUGACCCCAGCCAAGCCUCCUGUGGACCAGAGGCAGGGGACAAAGCUCCGCCUCCAGGAGGGGCUGCAAAGAGGAAUCUCCUUGUCCCAUCAGAAUUUGGCAGCGCAGUCGGCAGUGAUGAUGGAGAAGGAGCUGCAUCAGCUGAAGCGCGCCAGCUAUAGCAGCACAGACCAGCCCUCCUGGAUGGAACUGGCCAGAAAGAAAUCGCAAGCUUGGAGUGACAUGCCCCAAAUUAUAAAAUAGGUUUACCAGUGCUCUGGUAAAGAAUGUCUACUUCCUUGACGAGUCACUUCCUUUCAAACUGCCACUCAAUCAAGGCAAACAAACUGUGAAACUGAAGAGCGAUUUUAUCAUCAGGUUUCGAGAGAGCAAGCUCAGGGAAGAGGGCGGAACCAGGCAAACGAGUCCGACGGACGCUCGGCCCCGGGCCAGAGACGCCCGAAGACAAGAACCCAUUGAAAAGGGCCAGGACCGAGGUCUGUGCCCACAGGUAUGAAUGUGAGUCUUUCAGAGUCCCCCGGAGAGAGGGGGCUCAGGCAGGGGAAGAAAUGCAGAUGAAGCGCGGAUACGGAACUCAGGUGGCCUUCCAGGAGAACGCGUGCCCGUGCCGCCGCCAGAGAUCAGCUUGUGUCUCUGGGUCCCCGUCCUGCCUGCGGAGCCUGUCUUCUCCUUUCACGUUUACCGUUAGGCAUGACAUUCAUGGUGAAACAGAGACGUCGUUUUUUCCAAGAGCAGCUAUCGCACGGUCCACUUUCCUGAAGGCAGCCAGCCCGCGAAGGAGUGGAAGGAACACAGCAGGCUCCAUCGACUCAUAGACUCCUUCCAAAAUCAGUUUUUAAACUUCUCCACUCAUCCAUGUCCUUCACCAUUGAACAAUGCAUUGCCUGUCGAAUAAAAGGUUUCAGACCUGA